rnacentral:rRNA from 1 species
AAUCAACGCUGGCGGCGUGCCUCAGACAUGCAAGUCGAACGAGAAGGCUCCUUCGGGAGCCGGAAAGUGGCGCACGGGUGAGUAACACGUGGGUAAUUUACCUUCGGGUGGGGAACGAACAGCCGGAAACGGCUGCUAAUACCGCAUAAUGCAGCGGCACCUAAUGGUGACAGUUGUUAAAGCGGGGGAGUCGCAAGACCUCGCGCCUGAAGAGAAGCCGCGGC